rnacentral:rRNA from 1 species
GACGUAGGGUGCGAGCGUUGUCCGGAUUUAUUGGGCGUAAAGAGCUCGUAGGCGGCUCGUCGCGUCAGCUGUGAAAACCCGCGGCUUAACCGUGGGCUUGCAGCUGAUACGGGCGGGCUAGAGUUUGGUAGGGGAGACUGGAAUUCCUGGUGUAGCGGUGAAAUGCGCAGAUAUCAGGAGGAACACCGGUGGCGAAGGCGGGUCUCUGGGCCGUAACUGACGCUGAGGAGCGAAAGCGUGGGGAGCGAACAGG